CAAAGGAAAAUUACUAAUAAACAAGGAGCCAGUGCAGAAACCAAAUGACCAGAGAAAUGUGCUGGGAAAUGACCAAGAAAAAAAUUAUACUUGGCUAACUGCAACAGACAACACAGAUUACUUCAGGUCCAGCAAAACCAGAUUGCAGCUCUCAAGAGCUGCUUAAUAUCUACACAGUAUUAUAGAGUCCUGUGAAUCUUCAAGGUUUGUCUGUUUUGCUUGAAAAAGUCUUCACUGUAGUGAAACUCUUUUAUACAAUGGCAAUGACUGUCCGUGACCCUUAACGAUGGCCAUAACCCUACAACCCAAGAUGUCUUCCUUCUGUACAACACCAAUCUCUUCAUUAAAGUUACAGUGAUCUUUC